rnacentral:rRNA from 1 species
GAUGAACGCUGGCGGCGUGCCUAAUACAUGCAAGUCGAGCGAUCAGACGAGGAGCUUGCUCCUUCGACGUUAGCGGCGGACGGGUGAGUAACACGUAGGUAACCUACCUAUAAGACUGGGAUAACUUCGGGAAACCGGAGCUAAUACCGGAUAAUAUUUCGAACCGCAUGGUUCGAUAGUGAAAGAUGGCUUUGCUAUCACUUAUAGAUGGACCUGCGCCGUAUUAGCUAGUUGGUAAGGUAACGGCUUACCAAGGCAACGAUACGUAGCCGACCUGAGAGGGUGAUCGGCCACACUGGAACUGAGACACGGUCCAGACUCCUACGGGAGGCAGCAGUAGGGAAUCUUCCGCAAUGGGCGAAAGCCUGACGGAGCAACGCCGCGUGAGUGAUGAAGGUCUUCGGAUCGUAAAACUCUGUUAUUAGGGAAGAACAAACGUGUAAGUAACUGUGCACGUCUUGACGGUACCUAAUCAGAAAGCCACGGCUAACUACGUG